rnacentral:rRNA from 1 species
GCUGGAAUUGCUAGUAAUGGCAGGUCAGCAUACUGCCGUGAAUACGUUCCCGGGCCUUGUACACACCGCCCGUCACACCAUGAGAGUUGGGAAUACCCGAAGCCUGUGAGCUAACUUUUUAAGAGGCAGCAGUCGAAGGUAGAAUCAAUGAUUGGGGUGAAGUCGUAACAAGGUACC